UUAAGUUCAGCGGGUAGUCCUACCUGAUUUGAGGUCAAAAUGUCAGGAGUUGUCCUCGAAGAGGACGGUUAGAGAGCAGGACCCCAUGAUGAAGGCUGAUUCUCAGCGGCGUAGAUAAUUAUCACACCAGAGAUGGUCAACCAGAGGUCUCACUAAUGCAUUUAAGGAGAGCCGACUUCUCGAAAGAAGCCCGCAGCCCC
rnacentral:misc_RNA from 1 species